AUACGGAGGGGGCUAGCGUUGUUCGGAAUUACUGGGCGUAAAGCGCGCGUAGGCGGUUCGUAUAGUCAGGCGUGAAAGCCCCGGGCUCAACCUGGGAACUGCGUUUGAUACUGACGAGCUAGAGUCCGGGAGAGGGUAGCGGAAUUCCCAGUGUAGAGGUGAAAUUCGUAGAUAUUGGGAAGAACACCGGUGGCGAAGGCGGCUCUCUGGCCCGGUUCUGACGCUGAGGUGCGAAAGCGUGGGGAGCAAACAGGAUUAGAAACCCCAGUAGUCC
rnacentral:rRNA from 1 species